CUACGCACUCCGUACGGGAGGCAGCAGUGGGGAAUAUUGCACAAUGGGCGCAAGCCUGAUGCAGCCAUGCCGCGUGUAUGAAGAAGGCCUUCGGGUUGUAAAGUACUUUCAGCAGUGAGGAAGGUGGGUAUGUUAAUAGCAUAUUCAUUUGACGUUAGCUGCAGAAGAAGCACCGGCUAACUCCGUGCCAGCAGCCGCGGUAAUACGGAGGGUGCGAGCGUUAAUCGGAAUUACUGGGCGUAAAGCGCAUGCAGGUGGUUUGUUAAGUCAGAUGUGAAAGCCCGGGGCUCAACCUCGGAAUUGCAUUUGAAACUGGCAAACUAGAGUACUGUAGAGGGGGUAGAAUUUCAGGUGUAGCGGUGAAAUGCGUAGAGAUCUGAAGGAAUACCGGUGGCGAAGGCGGCCCCCUGGACAGAUACUGACACUCAGAUGCGAAAGCGUGGGGAGCAAACAGGAUUAGAUACCCUGGUAG
rnacentral:rRNA from 1 species